rnacentral:rRNA from 1 species
GACGAACGCUGGCGGCGUGCUUAACACAUGCAAGUCGAACGGAAAGGCCCUGCUUUUGUGGGGUGCUCGAGUGGCGAACGGGUGGGUAACACGUGAGUAACCUGCCCUUGACUUUGGGAUAACUUCAGGAAACUGGGGCUAAUACCGGAUAGGAGCUCCUGCUGCAUGGUGGGGGUUGGAAAGUUUCGGCGGUUGGGGAUGGACUCGCGGCUUAUCAGCUUGUUGGUGGGGUAGUGGCUUACCAAGGCUUUGACGGGUAGCCGGCCUGAGAGGGUGACCGGCCACAUUGGGACUGAGAUACGGCCCAGACUCCUACGGGAGGCAGCAGUGGAGAAUAUUGCACAAUGGGCGGAAGCCUGAUGCGGCAACGCCGCGUGCGGGAUGACGGCCUUCGGGUUGUAAACCGCUUUCGCCUGUGACGAAGCGUGAGUGACGGUAAUGGGUAAAGAAGCACCGGCUAACUACGUG